rnacentral:rRNA from 1 species
UACAGAGGGUGCAAGCGUUAAUCGGAAUUACUGGGCGUAAAGCGUGCGCAGGCGGUUAUGUAAGACAGUUGUGAAAUCCCCGGGCUCAACCUGGGAACUGCAUCUGUGACUGCAUAGCUAGAGUACGGUAGAGGGGGAUGGAAUUCCACGUGUAGCAGUGAAAUGCGUAGAUAUGUGGAGGAACACCGAUGGCGAAGGCAGCCCCUGGCCGAUACUGACGCUCAUGCACGAAAGCGUGGGGA